AAGAAUGGACUUGGAUGCCUUCUUGUGCUUCCAUAAUCAAACUCAGCUACCAAAUACCAGGCAACAAAAAAGAAAUAAAAUUUUAGAACUAGGAAAGACUCGAACUUUUCAGUUAAAGCUUAACGACACUGAUGAAACUCAAAUCUCGAGUAAAAACUCAAAGUUCAAGCUUUUUUAAGGUGUUUAAACUUGUUUUUUCAGUAAAGGAUUGGGUUCUUGUAAAGUCCCGUAAAUUUUUUUGGCUUAAAAUUUCGGUGGUAGCAAGUUUAACAUUAGUAUUGUGCUCGAGAGUUAUAAGACCCACACGGUCUAAACAGAGUACUAAAAAUAUGUCAAACUGGUCAUGCUAUAAAGUGAAGGGCCAAACUAGGUGUUACUUAAUUAUUUUUCUGGAAAGUGAUAUUACAAGGAUAUAAUUAAUAUUAUUUCUUUACCAAAAAAGGGGUCAUGUGAUAGGAAGCGACUAAGGGAGAACUAAUUAAGUCUCACAAGUGAGCCUUUCUGUAUAUGCCCAGCAUUUUGAGUAAUGAUAGAAACACUAAGGUCAUAGUUGACCUUACACCAUUUAUGAAAGCAUGUGGAAAAGAACAAAUUAAUUAAAAGCCAAAAGGAUAUGUGUUUACCCUUUCAAACACUACAGCAGCAACAGAUAGAAAAGAAAUAUAUGCCCUAGUGCUUUUAGUUUCAGCGGCGUAAUGGAGCAUUAAGAGAAUUAACUGUGCAAUACUUAUUGUUGGGGGUUUUGACGGAUGUUGCCACUGUCCCACGGAUAUAAAACAUCAGUUGUUCCAUAGACUUAGAAUCACAUAUCACCAUCAGUGUAUUUCCAAGAUUGAAUUGUCAAUUGUUGUUGGCAAGCGUAGAAGUUAAACUUGCUAGAAAGGAGAAUCUUAAGGUGCCAGUUUUGCAGACAAACAAGCUUCAGGCUAGAGAUCAUCGCUCGCCGUGCUUUUGGUAGCUCCACUUCUUGCUUUCGGUGGGGACUCAUAUAUGUUUAUUCAUUUAUUCCUUUAUUUAGCAUUUGUUUUGGGACUAGCCAGGAACCGAUGUCCUGUGCAUUUCGUUUAGUACUCCAGUAGAGGCUUCAUAUACGUGUUUUAGUUGAUAACGGUACUUGGUAUCAUUUUCAGUACGUUUCAGUAUUUAUGGAUUUCGAGAUUCAUUUGGAUUA